GAACGAAAACCAUUACCAUAGCUGGAAAGAGCAUCUUAAAAUGAGUAAAAUCGCAAAGUUUGGUUGCGAAUUGUUGUAAAAUGAGGAAAAUGUAGCCCUGUGAAGUUCGCAAAUUUUGUAUAUAUUUGCAUUACGCGCGUGAAAAAUAACCAUUUUUGAGCCGAAAGUGGUUGCUUUUACCGCGCGUAAUACAAAUAUAUACAAAAUUUGCGAACUUCACAGGGCUAUAUUUUCUUCAUUUUACAACAUCUAGCAACCAAACUUUGCAGUUUUACUCAUUCUAAGACGCUCUUUCUAGCUGUGGUGUUGGAUUUCGUUC
rnacentral:miRNA from 1 species